UGGGGAAUCUUGCACAAUGGGGGCAACCCUGAUGCAGCGACGCCGCGUGAGCGAUGAAGCCCUUCGGGGCGUAAAGCUCUUUCGACCGGAACGAUAAUGACGGUACCGGGAGAAGAAGCUGCGGCUAACUACGUGCCAGCAGCCGCGGUAAUACGUAGGCAGCAAGCGUUGUUCGGAGUUACUGGGCGUAAAGAGUGCGUAGGCGGUUUUCUAAGUUCGGUGUGAAAUCUCCCGGCUUAACUGGGAGGGUGCGCCGAAGACUGGGAAGCUGGAGUGUGGGAAAGGCAGACGGAAUUCCUGGUGUAGUGGUGAAAUGCGUAGAUAUCAGGAGGAACACCGGCGGUGUAGACGGCUUGCUAGACCAUAACGGACGCUGAGGCACGAAAGCGUGGGUAGCAAACA
rnacentral:rRNA from 1 species